GAAAAUUCAUUGGAUUUCAAGGAAUUAAGCAAGUAAAGGUGGUGAAACUUUCGAUAAGGGUAAAGAUAUUGUACCCGAAGACCGGGACUAGGAGUACUUCGACUCCCAAUAUUGAUCAGGACAGUCUGUAAAUAGCUGAUUACGUCGAGGGUUAUUAUUGGACUUGCCUCCUCAGAAAUUGUAGGUCCACAGCCUUUGUUACCUUUGGUCAUUCGGGGGCUCACACGUCAUUGUAAAUUAAAUUACAUACUCUAGCUAUCUGUUUUACUGUAUGUAUGGAUUUAUUUUGCUUUUACGUUAG
rnacentral:sRNA from 1 species